AUUAAUUUUAGCCACUAGUUGAUCUUUUCAGUUGAAAAUCAAGAAAUGCUCAACUUGAAUUUGUAUUUUUUUAACGAAUCCUUACGAGAAGUUGUCUUGGCCAGCCGGUCAAAAAAAAUCAAAGUUGGGACGAAACCUUUUCGACUAUUGCGCUCAACAAACGUCCGAGCGAGUCGUAUUUUGAUUCAAAGGCCAAGAAGUAAAAUAUGUUUACGGCUCAGAAUUACUUCAAUUGAAUGCCUUAAAAGUCGUACAAAAUUAUUAACAUAAUAAGAAAAAAAUCAUGACAUGGCCAAAAUACAAUUGUUGUUUAUUUUUUUGCAGCGAAAUAAUGGUCUAACGAGGCAAAAUUUAAC